rnacentral:rRNA from 1 species
GACGAACGCUGGCGGCGUGCUUAACACAUGCAAGUCGAGCGGUAAGGCCCUUUCGGGGGUACACGAGCGGCGAACGGGUGAGUAACACGUGGGUGACCUGCCUUUAGCUCUGGGAUAAGCCUGGGAAACCGGGUCUAUACCGGAUAUGACUCCGCGGCGCGUGUUGUGGGGUGGAAAGCCUUGUGCGGCUGAGGAUGGGCCCGCGGCCUAUCAGCUUGUUGGUGGGGUGAUGGCCUACCAAGGCGACGACGGGUAGCCGGCCUGAGAGGGCGACCGGCCACACUGGGACUGAGAUACGGCCCAGACUCCUACGGGAGGCAGCAGUAGGGAAUAUUGGUCAAUGGGAUGGAAGUCUGAACCAGCCAUGCCGCGUGCAAGGAAGAA